rnacentral:rRNA from 20 species
UGUCGUCAGCUCGUGUUGUGAAAUGUUGGGUUAAGUCCCGCAACGAGCGCAACCCUUAUCCUUUGUUGCCAGCGAUUAGGUCGGGAACUCAAAGGAGACUGCCAGUGAUAAACUGGAGGAAGGUGGGGAUGACGUCAAGUCAUCAUGGCCCUUACGACCAGGGCUACACACGUGCUACAAUGGCGCAUACAAAGAGAAGCGACCUCGCGAGAGCAAGCGGACCUCAUAAAGUGCGUCGUAGUCCGGAUUGGAGUCUGCAACUCGACUCCAUGAAGUCGGAAUCGCUAGUAAUCGUGGAUCAGAAUGCCACGGUGAAUACGUUCCCGGGCCUUGUACACACCGCCCGUCACACCAUGGGAGUGGGUUGCAAAAGAAGUAGGUAGCUUAACCUUCGGGAGGGCGCUUACCACUUUGUGAUUCAUGACUGGGGUGAAGUCGUAACAAGGUAACCGUAGGGGAACCUGCGGUUGGA